AUACGGAGGGUGCAAGCGUUGUUCGGAUUUACUGGGCGUAAAGGGCGUGUAGGCGGAUAUGCAAGCUGGAGGUGAAAGCCCCGGGCUCAACCCGGGAAUUGCUUUGAAGAACUGCAUAUCUAGAGAAAGUCAGAGGCAGGUGGAAUUCCAGGUGUAGAGGUGAAAUUCGUAGAGAUCUGGAGGAACACCGGCGGCGAAGGCGGCCUGCUGGGGCUUUUCUGACGCUGAGGCGCGAAAGCGUGGGGAGCAAACAGGAUUAGAAACCCCGGUAGUCC
rnacentral:rRNA from 1 species